rnacentral:tRNA from 1 species
AUAUUCAAAUAGUUUAUUAAAAAUAUUAGCUUGUGGCGUUAAUGAAGCAAAAUUUUGCUUUGAAUAAUAAAU